rnacentral:rRNA from 1 species
GGGGAAUAUUGCACAAUGGAGGAAACUCUGAUGCAGCGACGCCGCGUGAACGAUGAAGGUCUUCGGAUCGUAAAGUUCUGUCCUAGGGGACGAUAGUGACGGUACCCUAGGAGGAAGCCCCGGCUAACUACGUGCCAGCAGCCGCGGUAAUACGUAGGGGGCGAGCGUUGUCCGGAAUUAUUGGGCGUAAAGGGUUCGUAGGCGGUCUUUUAAGUCAGAUGUGAAAGGUCACGGCUCAACCGUGGUAAGCAUUUGAAACUGAAGGGCUUGAGUUAAGGAGAGGAAAGUGGAAUUCCUAGUGUAGCGGUGAAAUGCGUAGAUAUUAGGAGGAAUACCAGUGGCGAAGGCGACUUUCUGGACUUAAACUGACGCUGAGGAACGAAAGCGUGGGGAGCAAAC